rnacentral:rRNA from 1 species
UACGUAGGGUGCGAGCGUUAAUCGGAAUUACUGGGCGUAAAGCGUGCGCAGGCGGUGAUGUAAGACAGAUGUGAAAUCCCCGGGCUCAACCUGGGAACUGCAUUUGUGACUGCAUCGCUGGAGUGCGGCAGAGGGGGAUGGAAUUCCGCGUGUAGCAGUGAAAUGCGUAGAUAUCAAGUGGAACACCAGUGGCGAAGGCGAGUCCCUGGACAACUUCUGACGCUGAGGCACGAAAGCUAGGGGAGCAAACAGG